UCAAGCCACACCUCCAACUGGGAGGAGUUAGCCGUGUGGAGGAGGCGGGGCCAUGAUUGGCCACGCCCCUCCGACUCAAACACCGAUAACUGCAAGAAAAAGAAAGUGAUUAAAGGCUGAAAGUCAUUAUAAAUAACAUCCAGCCGCUAGAUGAUGACUGGUCAGUCCCGUUGCCCCGCAUAAACCUGUACCGGCCCCGGGCCGUCGGUUCUGUUGGACUCUGUCGGACCCUGUCGGACUCUGCCGGACCCUGGCCCACUUCUGAAUCCCAUCUGAUGCGCAUCUUCGUUUUAACGGUACGUUGUACUUCUUGGAAAUUUGCUUGAAUUUUUCACAUUUUAAUGUUGAAUGAAAACAAAAACAAACCACUGCUGCGUCACAUGACAGAGGUCACAUGACAGAGGUCACAUGACAGACUGCUGUAGUUUGACCUCUGACCUGCAGGCACAGUGAUCCGUUGGUGAAGGUUGCGGCGGCUCCGCAGAGCAGAGCGGUCGGACCCGACAGGUUGAGGCGGGACCAGCUGAAGUCCUGCAGCUCGUACGGAGGGAAAAGGUCGGAGGUCGGAUCGGCCGUGUCGUUUACAUCAUCGUACUC